rnacentral:pre_miRNA from 1 species
CAGCUCGAGGUUUUGUCUCCUGAUUCCAUCGAGAGCAGCACGGGAUUCACUUGAUCAGGUUAUCAGCACAAUCAGACAAGGCACCCCCACUCCGCAAAUCCCGCACGGUUCUCGAUGGAGUCUGGAGACAAAACCCAGACCAA